rnacentral:rRNA from 1 species
UGAGUAAUGCUUAGGAAUCUGCCUAUUAGUGGGGGACAACAUUCCGAAAGGAAUGCUAAUACCGCAUACGUCCUACGGGAGAAAGCAGGGGAUCUUCGGACCUUGCGCUAAUAGAUGAGCCUAAGUCGGAUUAGCUAGUUGGUGGGGUAAAGGCCUACCAAGGCGACGAUCUGUAGCGGGUCUGAGAGGAUGAUCCGCCACACUGGGACUGAGACACGGCCCAGACUCCUACGGGAGGCAGCAGUGGGGAAUAUUGGACAAUGGGGGGAACCCUGAUCCAGCCAUGCCGCGUGUGUGAAGAAGGCCUUAUGGUUGUAAAGCACUUUAAGCGAGGAGGAGGCUACUGAGACUAAUACUCUUGGAUAGUGGACGUUACUCGCAGAAUAAGCACCGGCUAACUCUGUGCCAGCAGCCGCGGUAAUACAGAGGGUGCGAGCGUUAAUCGGAUUUACUGGGCGUAAAGCGUGCGUAGGCGGCUUUUUAAGUCGGAUGUGAAAUCCCCGAGCUUAACUUGGGAAUUGCAUUCGAUACUGGGAAGCUAGAGUAUGGGAGAGGAUGGUAGAAUUCCAGGUGUAGCGGUGAAAUGCGUAGAGAUCUGGAGGAAUACCGAUGGCGAAGGCAGCCAUCUGGCCUAAUACUGACGCUGAGGUACGAAAGCAUGGGGAGCAAACAGGAU